UACCAGCGAAGUUGCUCUCCAGUUGCAAGG
rnacentral:piRNA from 1 species